GACGAACGCUGGCGGCGUGCCUAAUACAUGCAAGUAGAACGCAGUUGCGAACGGGUGAGUAACGCGUAGGUACCUGCCUCAUAGCGGGGGAUAACUAUUGGAAACGAUAGCUAAUACCGCAUACUGUGAGCUGGACCUGCGUUGUAUUAGCUAGUUGGUGUGGUAAAGGCUCAACAAGGCGACGAUACAUAGCCGAGCUGAGAGGGUGAGCGGCCACACGGGGACUGAGACACUGCCCAGAGUCCUACGGGAGGCAGCAGUGGGGAAUCUGCGGAAAUGGACGGAAGUCUGACCGAGCAAUGCCGCGUGAGUGAGGAAGGUUUGCGGAUCGUAAAGCUCUGUUGUUAGGGAAGCGGUAACUGAACAGAAAGGGACGGCUAACUACGUGCCAGCAGCCGCGGUAAUAC
rnacentral:rRNA from 1 species